rnacentral:rRNA from 1 species
AUUGAACGCUGGCGGCAGGCCUAACACAUGCAAGUCGAGCGGAUGAGAGGAGCUUGCUCCUUGAUUCAGCGGCGGACGGGUGAGUAAUGCCUAGGAAUCUGCCUGGUAGUGGGGGAUAACGUUCCGAAAGGAACGCUAAUACCGCAUACGUCCUACGGGAGAAAGCAGGGGACCUUCGGGCCUUGCGCUAUCAGAUGAGCCUAGGUCGGAUUAGCUAGUUGGUGAGGUAAUGGCUCACCAAGGCGACGAUCCGUAACUGGUUUGAGAGGAUGCUCAGUCACACUGGAAAGGAGACACGGUCCAGACUCCUACGGGAGGCAGCAGUGGGGAAUAUUGGACAAUGGGCGAAAGCCUGAUCCAGCCAUGCCGCGUGUGUGAAGAAGGUCUUCGGAUUGUAAAGCACUUUAAGUUGGGAGGAAGGGCAGUAAGUUAAUACCUUGCUGUUUUGACGUUACCAACAGAAUAAGCACCGGCUAACUUCGUGCCAGCCGCCGCGGUAA